AUUGAACGCUGGCGGCAGGCUUAACACAUGCAAGUCGAGCGGGGUGAUGGUGCUUGCACUAUCACUUAGCGGCGGACGGGUGAGUAAUGCUUAGGAAUCUGCCUAUUAGUGGGGGACAACAUUUCGAAAGGAAUGCUAAUACCGCAUACGUCCUACGGGAGAAAGCAGGGGAUCUUCGGACCUUGCGCUAAUAGAUGAGCCUAAGUCGGAUUAGCUAGUUGGUGGGGUAAAGGCCUACCAAGGCGACGAUCUGUAGCGGGUCUGAGAGGAUGAUCCGCCACACGGGGACUGAGACACGGCACAGACUCCUUCGGGAGGCAGCAGUGGGGAAUAUUGGACAAUGGGCGGAAGCCUGAUCCAGCCAUGCCGCGUGUGUGAAGAAGGCCUUUUGGUUGUAAAGCACUUUAAGCGAGGAGGAGGCUCUUAAGGUUAAUACCCUUGAUGAGUGGACGUUACUCGCAGAAUAAGCACCGGCUAACUCUGUGCCAGCAGCCGCCGUAAUAC
rnacentral:rRNA from 1 species